UACGGGGGGGGCAAGCGUUGUUCGGAAUUACUGGGCGUAAAGGGCGCGUAGGCGGCCAACUAAGUCGGAUGUGAAAUCCCCAGGCUCAACUUGGGAACUGCAUCCGAUACUGGUCGGCUUGAAUCCGGGAGAGGGAUGCAGAAUUCCAGGUGUAGCGGUGAAAUGCGUAGAUAUCUGGAGGAACACCGGUGGCGAAGGCGGCAUCCUGGACCGGCAUUGACGCUGAGGAGCGAAAGCCAGGGGAGCGAACGGGG
rnacentral:rRNA from 1 species